AUUUGUUGAAAGAAAAUAGAGAAAAGGUGGGAAUAAUCCUUCUCUCCCUUCCUUAUCCUCUCCCCACGCCACUCUCUAGCAUGUUCCAGCCACCCUCUCCCUGGCAUCUUCCCACCGCCGCCCCUCUCAUCUCCCUCACGCCCUCUCUCUCGUGUUGCAGCUCGCUCCCCCCCUCUGCUCACCAUCUCCUCCCUGGUUCCCAUGGCGCCCUCCCCUUCUUGGUGGCCGACGCCCCUCCCUCCAUGGAGCUCGCCUCUGCCAUGGCCGCCCUCUGCCCCUCCCUUGCUGUUCUUAUGGCAGCCCCUCUCCAUGCCAAGCUCUCCCUCCUUCUGUGCCCAGCCCUAGCUCCCCCCAACCCCUCUCCCUGGCUGCCCUUGCUCUGGUUUUCUCCCAGCCCUAGCCGAGCUCGCCCCUGUCCUAAGUUCUCAAGGCAGCCCCUCUGUGUUUUCCAUGGUCGGCACCCUCCCCAUCUUUUGUAGAUUGGAAGAAAGGAUUCCUAUGAGUGUGAGAAGAAGCAAAUCCCAGCAUAACACAUGCUAGGUGUUCGACGAAAUGUUCGAAUUGGGAUUGUCGUUGUUAUUGUGGAUCUGAGUCGCGCUUUGUAUUGGUGUGUCGUGGUGAAUAUCUCUAGAUCCGCGACUAUGUCUGUGUGUUUUGUUCUAUGGUGACGUCAGGAAAGUAUCUUUCCUCUCUUUCCCUUGUCUUUGUGAUGCUUAGUUGUAUGCCAUAUGUUUGGUGAAUGAAUAUGUAUAGAAGGAUUAAAUUGUUUAGGCAUAUGCAUAGCAUGAAUAAAAUGAGUUCUUGUGUGAUGAUAUACUGUAUGGAAUGUGCUGAUAUAUGUGUAUGCAAAGUAUGAUUAAUUAGUUCUUUGUUUGCAUGAAGUGAGAGUAGAUUUAAAAAUACUAGGUUAUAUGAAGUGAAUGGAUUCAUGGUUAUAAUGUAUAAGUAAUCUAUAUAUGUGAUUAGGAAGUGUCAAGCAUGAAAGUUGUAGAAGUAAAUAUGAACCCAAUUGGAAUGUUUGCUGUUUGGACUGCGUGUACAGUUUUGAUUGUGCAACUAAUCUAGUGAAGCAAAUCAUAUUUCCUGUGAAAAUGUUAUAUAUAAAAGUUGUAGAUAACCUCCUUAUCUUGCUCAUGCUAAAAUUUCAUUACCAUAGGCCCAAUAAUCUGAAAGUUUUGCUUCUCCCAAGUUCAGUAUCAGAAUCUGUCCAGAUUCUGUACAGAUUUCGAAAAUGGCCUUGUUUGCCCAAGUUAAACUUAGAAUCAGUUCUUAUAAAUUAUAAAGAAGUUGUAGUACUUUUCUUAAGCUUUCCAACAAGUUUUGGAUCACCCUUUUUGGUGGUCUAGAAGUCAAGUUAUGGUUGAUUGAAAUGUGAUGACUGAAUCUGUCCAAAUCUGGACAGCAAUGUUUGUUUGUAUUGACUGACUUUGAUAUAUAUUGAAUCAACCUAAGAUGUUUAUAAAUGAGUUGUAGACAAUUUUAUAAGCUUUCUAGAAAUUCUUGGAUCACCUGUUUUGGAUGCCUAAAUCUCCAGUUAUAGAGUUUUGAAGUGAGUAGUCGAAUUCCGUCCAAAUCUGGACAGCAUUAUCAUUUAAUACUGAUUGACUUUUUUAAGUGUCUAAUCUCAUGGUGAUGAUAAUACCAAAGUUGUAUAGGAUUUCUUAGGCUUUCCAGAAAGUCUUAGUUCACUAUUUUUGGAUGAAUAUUUUGUGAGUUGUGAACAAAACAAUUGACUACUGUGUGCUGUCCAGAAAAUCUGCAAUUGAGCACUUGAUUUUGUUCUUGUUUGGCUAAGUAGGAAUAAUUAGUUUUUGAUUCUUGAGUGAUGAAGACUUGUGGCAUUUGAAAUGUUUCUCCAAAUGUCUUGUUGCAUAUGGUUGAGUUUUUUCUUUCUUAAUGUGUGCUCUAAACCUAUUAGUUUGGGAAGUGAUGUGCCUGUACUUAGAGGGAUCAUCGUGAUUUUGUGCUCGUGGUAGUAUACAACAAAAUCAUGUGCUUUUAUCUUAACGUCUGUUUGGUAUAUAUUGUGUGUUUUUGUGAGAAAUAUAUUGCAAAAUCUCUCUCUCUAUAUAUAUAUCUACACCUGACUCUGCAAUAUAUAGGACAUCGCUCGAAUUGUUUAUAUGCAGGAAUAGGUUGUACAAAUAAUUUGAAAUUGACAUUAACCACUAGGUGGCCACCCAUCAUUGUUUUUUACCAUAAGGAGUCUCAUUUUCCAGUUCUUACUGAAUAUACAAAUUUAUCUGAAUUUCGAUUGUUUUUCUGCUUGUGAACCUUUCAUUGGAACGAGACACCGAGGAGGAGGCUGAGUUCAGAGCGAAGAUGAAAGAGCAGGCAAACGCCCCUGAUGAUUUGCCGCCUCAGCUUCUCUUUGCUCAUCAGGGUCAGAGAGACUUGAAAGAAGUGCACUGGCACCCACAGAUGCCGUCGAUGAUCAUAUCGACGGCAAUCGACGGCUUCAACGUGUUGAUGCCUAGCAACAUCGAUACAACCAUUCCUGGCAGCACAGAUACAGCAAUGCCGCCAGCUGAGCCAUAGGUCCCUAUAAAAUGGCCAAAAAGUCGUGAUGUAGUAUGGAAAGCAAACAUUCCACACACUCACCUUGCAAAAGAGAAGUCAGACCAGAACUGGAUGGUUGAAGCUGGUGAAAAAAUCAAGUUUCCAGGUGGUGGGACCCAUUUUCACCAUGAAGCUGACAAAUACAUAUCAAAUAUUGCAAAUAUGCUAAAUUUCAAAGAUAACAAUAUAAACAAUGAGGGGAUGCUUCGUACAGUUCUUGAUGUUGGUUGUGGAGUUGCUAGUUUCGGAGGAUACCUUCUUUCUUCUAAUGUGAUAGCAAUGUCUUUGGCACCAAACGACGUGCAUCAGAAUCAGAUUCAGUUUGCACUCGAAAGAGGAAUCCCUGCAUAUCUUGGUGUUUUGGGAACAAAAAGGCUUCCAUACCCGAGUAGAUCAUUUGAACUAGCCCAUUGUUCACGUUGUAGGAUCGACUGGCUUCAAAGAGAUGGGAUUCUUCUGCUCGAACUAGACAGAUGGAGUUUGGGAGCCUGUUAAAUGAUUUUGUAAAGUGUUUGCAAAUAUGUGCAAAACAUAAUAACAUGUGUAGGUUUUGUGAAUGAUUUUGUUGUGGUGAUUGUUGAUGAUUUAUGUGAUGUGGAUCUAUUAUUGUGCAA